AGCGAACGCUGGCGGCAGGCCUAACACAUGCAAGUCGAACGGAUCCUUCGGGAUUAGUGGCGGACGGGUGAGGAACACGUGGGAACGUGCCUUUUGGUUCGGAACAACUCAGGGAAACUUGAGCUAAUACCGGAUAAGCCCUUCGGGGUAAGGAUUAUCGCCAUUAGAGCGGCCCGCCGUCUGAUUAGCUAGUUGGUGGGGUAAAGGACCUACCAAGGCUACGAUCAGUAGCUGGUCUGAGAGGAUGAUCAGCCACAUUGGGACUGAGACACGGCCCAAACUCCUACGGGAGGCAGCAGUGGGGAAUCUUGCGCAAUGGGCGAAAGCCUGACGCAGCCAUGCCGCGUGAAUGAUGAAGGUCUUAGGAUUGUAAAAUUCUUUCACCGGGGACGAUAAUGACGGUACCCGGAGAAGAAGCCCCGGCUAACUUCGUGCCA
rnacentral:rRNA from 1 species